rnacentral:rRNA from 1 species
AACGAACGCUGGCGGCAGGCCUAACACAUGCAAGUCGAAGGAGAAGCCACUUUCGGGUGGUGGAAACUGGCGCACGGGUGAGUAACGCGUGGGAAUCUGCCCCGGGUGGGGGAUAACCGCUGGAAACGGCGGCUAAUACCGCAUACGCCCUACGGGGGAAAGCUCCGGUGCCCUGGGAGGAGCCCGCGUUGGAUUAGCUUGUUGGUGGGGUAACGGCCCACCAAGGCGGCGAUCCAUAGCUGGUCUGAGAGGAUGAUCAGCCACACUGGGACUGAGACACGGCCCAGACUCCUACGGGAGGCAGCAGUGGGGAAUAUUGGACAAUGGGCGCAAGCCUGAUCCAGCCAUGCCGCGUGAGUGAAGAAGGCCUUAGGGUUGUAAAGCUCUUUCACCUGCGAAGAUGAUGACGGUAGCAGGAGAAGAAGCCCCGGCUAACUCCGUG